rnacentral:lncRNA from 1 species
UAAACUAGAAUUCAGCUCAAAAAAUAAGGAAAAUGGUUAUGGCGUAUACCUGAUAACAAGGAAAAAGAUCCAGAUUUAGCUUCGUACUUGCUCAGUGAGACACCUGUACAGUAAACAGAUUACGAGAAGCGGAAAAUGUGAGUGUGAAAGUCAGUCAUCACUGAUGAAGUUUUGAGAGAAAAAGAAAAAAAAAAAAUUGUUGGAGGAGGUCAAAUAUAACUCACAAGUGAAGAGAACGUUAGCUUAAAUGGGUCUUGAGUUUGUUAAUCAAAAGGUGGUUCUGGUGUAGCAAUCGGUCCCUAAGCUACAAACAGCAGCAGGUUAAAUGAGUGGAAUUGUUUUGAAAAAAGAGAAUAAAGGGUUGAGAGCUACAGCAGUAGUGGUCGGCAUUAAUGAUAGUGGACUAUACUCGUGUAGAGAGAGAGAGAGAGAUGUAAGGGUCAGGUGGGGGUGAGCUCCGAGAGCACGAGGUUCAAGGAGUUGCAGAGGGUGGUGGUGAUGGCGAUGGUGGUGGUGGAGGUGGUUUUGGAGGAGGAGACUAUCUCUGCGUCUGGUUCUGGUCCUUUUUACACAUCACCAACCAUGGUCCCUACUUCUCCCACAUGUCUUUAAUUCUUUUUUCUAUCAGUUACAUCCUUAGUCCUUUGUUAAAUGUAAAACACAAAAUUAGUCCAACUUAAUUGUUUCACUUUGGGUCUCACCCAUGGUUUAGUGUGAAGUCAGUGUGGUUCAAUUAUGGAAGAUUGCUUAACCUAAAUUGUUAUGGUUAAAAAUGAUUCGAUUACGAUCCUUUAA